ACCAGCUGAGUCACCUAGGCGCCCUGUGUACUGACUGAAUCCUUUUAUGUUCAGGCAAGAAAAUGCACAGCCAUCAGUCCCAUAUUCUGUUCUGCAGGUGCCCCUUUCUCUGCCUUCCUGGAUCUUGGAUAAAAGAAAGACUUGAUUAAUGGAAGAGACAGAUUUUGGAAGAGCCCCUCCUGCCAGGACUAUAGCAGGACAUUGAAACUGACCAGCCACAGUGACCUCGGGACAUGAUUAAGUACUUUAUGAUUAAAAUAUGCAUAUUUUGCAACCAA